GCCGCCGUAGCUCAGUUGGCUAGAGUGCCUGGUUGUGGCCCAGGAGGUCAUGGGUUCAAGUCCCGUCGGCGGUA
rnacentral:tRNA from 1 species